AAGUCGUAACAAGGUUUCCGUAGGUGAACCUGCGGAAGGAUCAUUAUUGAAUGAAUUUAGGAGUUGGUUUGAUGCUGGCCGACAACCCCAAGGGCAUUGUGCACGCCUUCUCCUUCAUCCACACACACCUGUGCACUUGUGAGAUGCGAGGAUUAAUUUCCUCCGUCUACUAAUCACACAAACUCAUUGUAAUUGAACUGAAUGUAAUUGAUGUAACACAUCAUUUGAACUAAGUUUCAACAACGGAUCUCUUGGCUCUC
rnacentral:misc_RNA from 1 species